rnacentral:rRNA from 1 species
UACAGAGGUCCCAAGCGUUGUUCGGAUUCACUGGGCGUAAAGGGCGCGUAGGCGGUCGGGUAAGUCUGACGUGAAAUCUUCAAGCUCAACUUGGAAACUGCGUCCGAUACUAUUCGGCUGGAGGAAUGGAGGGGAGACUGGAAUACUUGGUGUAGCAGUGAAAUGCGUAGAUAUCAAGUGGAACACCAGUGGCGAAGGCGAGUCUCUGGACAUUUCCUGACGCUGAGGCACGAAAGCCAGGGGAGCAAACGGG